rnacentral:rRNA from 1 species
GAUGAACGCUGGCGGCGUGCUUAACACAUGCAAGUCGAACGGAAAGGCUCCUGCUUGCUGGGGUACUCGAGUUGCGAACGGGUGAGUAACACGUAGGUGAUCUGCCCUGCACUUCGGGAUAAGUCUGGGAAACGGGAGCUAAUACCGGAUAAGACCAUUGGUUGGAUGCCAUUGUGGAAAGAUUUUCGAUUUGGGAAGAGCGUGGGGUCUAUCCGCUUGUUGGUGGGGUAAUGGGGUAACAAGGCGUCGACGGGUAGCCGGCCUGAGAGGGUGUAAGGCCACAUUGGGACUGAGAUACGGGCCAGACGCCUACGGGAGGCAUCAGUGGGGAAUAGUGCACAAUGGGCGGCAGCCUGAUGCAGCGACGCCGCGUGGGAGAUGACGGUCUUAGGGGUGUAACCUGUUUUCGCUAGGGACGAAGCGAAAGUGACGGUACCUGGCGAAGAAGCACCGGCUAACUACGUG